UACGUAGGGUGCGAGCGUUGUCCGGAAUUACUGGGCGUAAAGGGCGCGUAGGCGGCACUGUUAGUCAGGCGUGAAAGUCCUGGGCUCAACCUGGGAACUGCGCUUGAUACGGCAGAGCUAGAGGAUGGAAGAGGGUCGCGGAAUUCCCAGUGUAGAGGUGAAAUUCGUAGAUAUUGGGAAGAACACCGGUGGCGAAGGCGGCGACCUGGUCCAUUACUGACGCUGAGGCGCGACAGCGUGGGGAGCAAACAGG
rnacentral:rRNA from 1 species